GACGAACGCUGGCGGCGUGCUUAACACAUGCAAGUCGAACGAAAAGAGGGAAAGAGCUUGCUCUUUCCGGAAUUGAGUGGCAAACGGGUGAGUAACACGUAAACAACCUGCCUUCAGGACGGGGACAACAGACGGAAACGACUGCUAAUACCGAAUAAGUUCCAAGGGCCGCAUGGCGCAUGGAAGAAAAGGUGGCCUCUACCUGUAAGGUAUCGCCUGUAGAGGGGUUUGCGGCUGAUUAGCUGGUUGGAGGGGUAACGGCCCACCAAGGCGACGAUCAGUAGCCGGGCUGAGAGGAUGAACGGCCACACUGGAAUGGGGACACGGUCCAGACUGCUACGGGAGGCAGCAGGGGGGAAUCUUCCGCCAUGGGCGGAAGCCUGACGGAACAACGCCGCGGGAGUGAUGACGGCCUUCGGGUUGGAAAACUCUGUGAUCCGGGACGAGAAGGCAGAGUGCGAAGAACAAGCUGCAUUGACGGUACCGGAAAAGCAAGCCACGGCUAACUACGUG
rnacentral:rRNA from 1 species